UACGUAGGGUGCAAGCGUUAUUCGGAUUCACUGGGCGUAAAGGGUGCGCAGGCGGCCAAGUGUGUCAGGUGUGAAAUCCCGGGGCUUAACUCCGGAACUGCGCCUGAAACUACUUGGCUAGAGCAUUGGAGAGGGAAGUGGAAUUCACGGUGUAGCAGUGAAAUGCGUAGAUAUCGUGAGGAACACCAGAGGCGAAGGCGACUUCCUGGACAAUUGCUGACGCUCAGGCACGAAAGCGUGGGGAGCCAAAGGG
rnacentral:rRNA from 1 species